GAUUCUCGACAUUGGAUAUCUCGGCUCUUGCAUCGAUGAAGAACGUAGCGAAAUGCGAUACUUGGUGUGAAUUGCAAAAUCCCAUAAACCAUAGAGUCUUUGAACGUAAAUUACGCCCUAGUCCAUCGGGCUGAGGGCACUCCUACCUGGGCAUCA